CCUACGGGAGGCAGCAGUGGGGAAUAUUGCACAAUGGGGGAAACCCUGAUGCAGUGACGCCGCGUGAGUGAAGAAGUAAUUCGUUAUGUAAAGCUCUAUCAGCAGGGAAGAAAAUGACGGUACCUGAGUAAGAAGCCCCGGCUAACUACGUGCCAGCAGCCGCGGUAAUACGUAGGGGGCAAGCGUUAUCCGGAUUUACUGGGUGUAAAGGGAGCGUAGACGGCAGUGCAAGUCUGGAGUGAAAGGCGGGGGCUCAACCCCCGGACUGCUCUGGAAACUGUACGGCUGGAGUGCAGGAGAGGUAAGUGGAAUUCCUAGUGUAGCGGUGAAAUGCGGAGAUAUUAGGAGGAACACCAGUGGCGAAGGCGGCUUACUGGACUGUAACUGACGUUGAGGCUCGAAAGCGUGGGGAGCAAACAGGAUUAGAUACCCCUGUAGUC
rnacentral:rRNA from 1 species